CUGACUGACUGUAAAAUUUGCAAAACAUUGUACCGUUGCUUGUUUAAAAAUAAACUUAGAAUUUUAAAAUUUCUUUGUUCAUCAUACUGAAUAGGACUGCAACUGAACAGUAUCUACCCACAUUAAAAUUUUGUUCCUUAAAAAUAGUAAAAUGCAUGUGAUGAUCAACUGAAAUUUUUAUGAAACAGUUUUCUGAUAACCAUACGUUCUAAGUAGAAAUAAUUGCCUAAUUGUAACAUUAGUAAGCUGAAUUCCGAGUUCAUUUGUAGUAGUGUGAUAAUGGCGUUUAUCGCUCAUUGAAACAGCACAAAGUGAGUGUGUCAGUGGCGGUGGAAGUGCCAUGGAGCGGCCACGUGGCAGCGGGCGCCUCGUCCAUCGCGACAGUGCAUGUCAGUUUUCUGGAAAAAUUUUCAAAACUAGCACAACGGCGGCGGCGCGGCGUCGGCGAGCAAUUUGCGAGGCACCGCGUGUCAGUGUGUGAAUCCUCGUCGCGACCGGAGCGCGCUAGUGUGCGUGCACGUGAAGGUCGAAUAUUUGUCCCUACUCGUCGGUCUAUUGGUUCAACACUCGCCGCUGUGAUAAUGAGCGGCCGUGGUCUCUUUCGCACAGCCGGCGCGGCGCACCCGAGGAAAGGGACGGCCGGCGUUGUGCGCGUGCGCCGGAGCCUCCGCCAGCGCCGGCGCGGCCUGCCCUCAUCAGUCUCCCCGCGGCGGGGAAGCGGUUCGCGUGUGCAACUCCGUGUCGGCUCAGCUACGGGCUCGAGCGCCUUGCGUCGCACACGAAUAUUUUUAGAUAACAGCACGAAUAAUUUAUUUGCAAGGUAGUGAUCGCGCGCACUUUUGCGGAUAUCGAUAUCAGCGCAUGCGGGCUCGCGUGUGCUGCGGCCGCGGCGCUGCGGCGCAGCUCGGCGCUCGGGCAGCCGCCGGCGGCGAAGUCCCGGUGUGGCGAAACAGCGCUUGCGCCAGCGGCGCGCCGCCUGAUGGACAAUGACUUGUUAUUUUGAUGGCGUCGAGCAAUUAGCAGAAGAGAAGAAGCGUUACUAGUUCGCUAACAGGGCUGAGUCAGCAUGAUGUCAUGUGGUACGCGAUGAUGCGGCUAAUGGGAGCGUCCCGGCGCGCGCGCACGUCACAUCCCAUUCCCGGCGCAUACCUCAACCAAUCGAGCGAUGACAAAUCCAUUCAUACUCCUCCUUUGUGGCUCGUUGUGUUAGAGGCUAGAUUCUUGCGAUUCCAGCCCAAUUAGCGCUGAUAAACACGACCAGUCCAAUUGUUACUUCCCAAAACACAGCUCCAUUUAUUUGUUUUGUUCUGAAGUAUUUGUAUCUAUUGUAAAAGCAGAGAAGAAAGAAGAAUGAAGACAAACUACUACGACGACGGAAUAUAUCAAGAAUGAAGAAAUUUCAACGCCUAAGAAGACAAAAGGAAUUACGAAACUGGUUUUCAUAAUGAUUUGACAGAUUGGUUACUAUUCUGAGAUCAUUGUGAAAGCUGAUUUUGUUCCUAAGUCAUCAGUAUACUUACAACGAAAGAAGAAGAAAAAUCGCUGAAGAAACAAGCUUUUAUUGUAACAUCAAGAAUUUCAAGAAACAUGGUUAAAGUUCACAUCUAAUGUUUUGCAAGUAUAAAAAAGUCAACUUCACCGAAUAAACUAAAUCGAUUAUACCUAAAACACACUAAUUUAUGGUUUAUAAGAAAGCUCAACUAGAGUAUGUAUGAAUCUCAUAAAGUUUGGUGAAGAUGAUUUUUUUAUACAUUAUGUAAACUAACAGAAAAAUAUUGGUAUUUACGUGUUACUAACAUUACAAAAUCCCAACCUAAAUGUUUUUUUGAAAUAUUAAUAAUGGUGAAAAUGAAUGUUUUAUAAUUGGAUCAUUGGAUCAUUUUAAAAAAAUGAAAAAAUUAAAUGUUUUAUUCAGCGACACAAAACAACAUCAAAGUAUUAAUCUCGCCACCAACCUUUGCUAAAUGUGUGUGGGAUCUAAUUAAUUAUAUUUUAUUCAUUCAAUCAUUCAUUGUUCAUGCCAUGAGUGUGAAACAUGACGUAAAAGUAUUAAUAUAAAUAUGUACAGUUUAGAAUGACAAAGCUAAUAUAUGAAUAACAGUGAUAAAUUUUCCCUUAUUAUUUAUUAGUCAACCCAUUCAUUAAUAUCAAAAUGAUGAUGCAUUGUAAAAUACUUGUAAAUGUAACUCAAAUAAGUAGGUACCUAUCAUCGUAAAUUACAUUUCGCUUUAUAAUGUUUCGUUGUUAAAGAAUAAAUAAAUUAUUUUUAUGGUAGCACCAGUAUGAAUAAAGGGACCAAAAUAAUGUUCAAGAUUUUUGUAACAACAAUGUAAUCUGUAAAUAUUUAACUAUGUAUGUAACCCUCAUCAACGUUAACAGAACAAGAUUAAAUCGACCUAAAA